AAUCAACGCUGGCGGCGUGCCUAACACAUGCAAGUCGAACGAGAAAGUGGGAGCAAUCCCAUGUGUACAGUGGCGAACGGGUGAGUAACACGUGACUAACCUACCUUCCAGUGGGGGAUAACCUCGGGAAACCGGGGCUAAGACCGCAUAACCUCGUGAGGUGACAUUCCUUGCGAGCAAAGGGGUAAGACGCUGGAUGAGGGGGUCGCGUCCGAUUAGCUAGUUGGCGGGGUAACGGCCCACCAAGGCGAUGAUCGGUAGCCGGCCUGAGAGGGCGGACGGCCACACUGGAACUGAAACACGGUCCAGACUCCUACGGGAGGCAGCAGUGGGGAAUUUUGCACAAUGGGGGAAACCCUGAUGCAGCAACGCCGCGUGGAGGAUGAAGUCCCUUGGGACGUAAACUCCUUUCGACCGGGACGAUAAUGACGGUACCGGUGGAAGAAGCCCCGGCUAACUCCGUGCCAGCCGCCGCGGUAA
rnacentral:rRNA from 1 species